GUGGGCGUCUUCUAAUGGUUAGGAAAUCUCGUUGUGGUGGUGUAGCCCGUUUCAUCUGCACUCGCGAUCCCGUGAAAAUGUCGGUUCGAUUCCGGCCGCCCACA
rnacentral:tRNA from 1 species